rnacentral:lncRNA from 1 species
GGGAGAAGAAACAAAGAUUCUUCUCCUCUGUUCCACUCACGCCACACACACACACAGUGGGAAUGAGAGGGGCUCAGUUCUCCUCUUUCUCCUCUCUUUAUUUUUUCCUUUGCUUCUUACCCACACAGCACACACGCACUCACACACACAGAGAGGGAGAAAGAGAGAUGCGGAGGGAAGAGUGCGAGAGAGAAAAGAGAACGGGAGAGGGAGAGGGGGAGCGGGAGACG